rnacentral:lncRNA from 1 species
UCCAUAUACUCUUGAGAAGAAUGUGUAUUCCAUUGUUGCAUAGUGUGUGUUGUUUGUAUCUGUUAGAUCUAGUUGUUUUGUUGUAUUGCUCAAGUCUCUCUCUCUCUCUACACACACACACACUUUUUUUCUGUCUGGAUUUUCUAACAUGAACAGUAAGAUAUUGAAAUCUCCAAAUGUUAUUGUACAUUUAUCUAUUUUACCUUCAGUUGUAUCUGGUUUUGCUUAUAUAUUUUGAUAGUCUGUUAUUAGGUCUAUAACUAUUUAUAAUUAGUUUUUCUUAUUGCUGCAUUAAACCUUUUAUUAAUAUGUAAUGUAUUUCUUUACCUCCUGACACCUCUUUUAUUUUAAAGUCUAUUUGUCUGAUAUUGUAUGUCCACUACAACUCCUUUGAUUACUAUUUUUAUGAGAUGUCCUUUUCUAUCCUUUCACUUUUAAUUGAUUUGUCUUUUUUAAUCUAUCUUCCAAUCUCUGUCUUUUUGUUGGAAAGUUUUAUUGAUUUAUACUUAAUUACUGUUAAGGAGAUACUUAUUUCUGUCAUUUUAAUAUUUGUUUUCUGUAGCCUUUAUGGCUUUAUUAUCAAUCAUUUCCUGCAUUACUGUUUAGUUUUAAUGUUUAGUUGAUUUUUUUUAAAUAGUGAAACAGCGAAAUUCCUUUCUAAUUUCCAUUUGUGGAUAUUCUUUAGCUAUUUUCUUUAUCAUUACCAUGGGGUGUACAUUUAACAUCCUAAAGUUAUAACAUCCUAAUUUGAAUUUAUACCAGCUUAACUUUAAUAAUAUACAGAAUUCUGCUUCUUUAACAGCUUUGUCCAUGCAUCUUUUAGUUAUUAAUGUCACAGAAUUACAUCUUUAGACAUUGUGUAACCAAACAAAAUAAUUUUAACUCCAGUAGUCUCUUUAAUUCUGUAAAAAAAAUUAAACACAAAAUUAGCAUAAUUAAAGUCUACUGAAGUUAGAAAUUAAAUCCAAUAAAAAUAGCUUUUAGACCAAUAAUUUUUAAUAAAUUAAUUUCUUAAUCAUCUUAAGCAUAAAAUAUGAAGUUAUACAUCAUUGUUAUAAUAAUACUAAUUUUUAGAAUUACCCUGUUUACCUUUACUGAGAUCUUUAUCUUAAUGUGGCUUUAAAUUAUUGUCUAUUUCAUCCUUCAGGAUUCUCUUUAGUACCUCUCAUAGGUCAAGUCUAAUUGUAUUUAGCACCUUAAGCUUUGUUGUUGUUGUUGUUAUUCAGGAGUUUACUAAUUUCUUCCUUACUUUUGAAAGAGUUUUGCCAGAUUUAGAAUUCUUGUUUGGCAGGGAAUUUUAUUUUUUUCUUCUAGCACUUUGGCUAUAUCAGGCCAUAGUCUCCAAAGGCUUUGUUUGUUUGUUUGUUUGUUUUAUCUUUUCUAGGGCCACACCCAUGACAUGUGGAGGUUCCCAGGCUAGGGGUCUAAUUAGAGCUGUAGCUGCCAGCUUGUGCCACAGCCACAGCAACGCAGGAUCCGAGCCGGAUCUGUGACCUACGCCACAGCUCACAGGAACACCAGAUCCUUAACCCAAUGAGCGAGGCCAGGGAUUGAACCUGCAACCUCAUGGUUCCUAGUCGGAUUCAGUAACCAGUGAGCCACGACAGGAACUCCUUAGUCUCCAAAGGUUUUGAUGAGAGAUCUUCUGUAAUCUUAUUGAAGAUCUCUCAUAUGUAAAGUUGCAUUUUUUCAUACUGUUUCCUGAAUUUGCUAUGUCUUUGAAUUUUGACAAUUUUAUUAUAUUUUAUCUCAGUGUCAAUGUUUUAAAGAUCAUUCUACUUGGAAUUUAAGUUUCUUGGAUGUUUAUAUUCAUGAGUGUCUUAAAACUUGGAAAAAUUUCAGCUAUCAUUUCUUCAAAUUUCCCUUUAUCUUUACUCUUCUGGAACUCUCAAAAUGCAUGUGUUGGUCUUUCUGAUGGUGUUGCAUAAGUUCCUUUGGUUUUCUUCACUUUUCUUCAGCCUUUUUUCUUCGUCAUACUUGAUCAUUUCCAUUAUUUUAUCUUCAGGUUCACCUGUUUUUUCCUCUGAUUAAUUCAAUCAAUUGUUAAAUUCCACUGAGGUUUUGGGGUUUUUUUUAAAUUCUUGUUAUUAUAUUUUUCAGCUCUUGAUUUGCUUUUUUUUUUAGGUUUUUUCUCUUUAUUGAUUUUUUUAAUGUUGUUCUUAUGUCAUUUCUUGGCUUUUGUCACAUAUUUUAAUUCUUCUAGCAUUUUUAUGAUAAUUGUUUUUAAAUUUUUGUCUAGUAGAUCUACCAUCAUGGGUUCAUUUUGUUUGUUUGUUUUUGGCCACACCCAUGGCAUGUGAAAGUUUCCAGGCCAGGGAUUGAACCCAUGCCACAACACUGACCCAGAUUGCUGCAGUGACAAUGCUGGAUCCUUAAUCUUCUUCUGUGCCACAGAAGAACUCUACAUCAGGCCUUUUUCAGGGACAGUUUCUAUUGUUGGUCUUUGGUUUUGUUUUGCCUUUGAAUGGACCAUACUUUCCUGCUUCUUUGUAUGAUGUGUGCCUUUUUUUUGUCAUUGUUGAAAAGCAGACAUUUGAUCUAAUAAUAUGGUGACUCUGGAAAUCAAAACCUUCCCCUUCCCAACAGUUGAGGGUUUUUUUUUGUUUUGUUGUGUUGUGUUUUGUUUUAUUGUUUUUUGUUUUUUGGGUUUUUUUUUUCUUUUUUUUUAGGGCCACACCCACAGCACAUGGAAGUUCCCAGGCUAGGGGUCUAAUCGGAGCUGUAGCUGCCAGCCUACGCCAGAGCCACAGCAACGCAGGAUCUGAGCCACGUCUGCGACCUACACCACAGCUCACGGCAACGCCGGAACCUUGACCCACUGAGCAAGGGCAGGGAUCGAACCCGAAACCUCAUGGUUCCUAGUUGGAUUCGUUAACCACUGCGUCACGACGGGAACUCCCCUCCUACAGUUUUUUUACUUUUGUUUUAUUUUAGUUUUCAUUGUUUGUAGGCUACCUCUGCUGAGGAUCAGACUGAGUUACAAUACUGAGGUCUUUUCUGAGACUGUGCCUUCCCUUAGUCAUGCACAGUGCCUUUCUAAUUUCCUCCACAUAUGUGGUUGCCUUGAAUGUGUCAGCCACAUUCAUAUGUGGUUGUAGUUUUCAAUAUACAGCUCCAAAACGGGGAAAUAGAAAAAGAAAUGGAUGGUCAUGUUCUAUUCCUUUAAGCGUCUUUUACUUAAAUUCAGCCAGAGGAAGAGGGGUUUGCAGCAAGGAAGGAGUUGCAACAAUGACUGCCAACUUUUUCUUCACAGUUCUGUGAUCAGAAACAGCAAUCAGUUGCAUUUCGGACUUUGGCUAAGAUAAAGUAUAGAAGAAGCAAUGAGUGGUCAGAGUACAGAUGCUCAGUGUUUAGAAGACAGGGUUCUUUUUGAUCAGGUUGGAUCCUGCAAGCUUUGUGCAAGUUCCCCCAGAAAAGCUUUUUCAACUGCCUGCUGUGGGCUGAUGAUUGAGUGAUGGGGAGAUUCAGCUGUUGAAGUUGAUUAAUAUUAACUGAUAUUUACCAUCCAGGACUUCUUGGAAAUUGAAGAGUCUUCAGUAGACUUCAGAGUACCAAAAUAGUUAAAUCAGACAUAUUCUGCCAAGCAGUUGUCUAGGUGAGGACUCAGAAAUCUCAUGUUUCUACCCUGUCAUCUUACUAGAACUCUGUAUUUCCUUCAUGUUGAAAGAUAAUUUUGCACAAUACAGAAUAUCAGGAUGAUGAGGUUUUCUUCCCAAUACUUUGAAUGGUUCAUUCCACUCUCUCCUUGCUUAUAUGUUUCUGAGGAGAAGUAAGUUUUAGGGUUUUUUCUGUGAUUUCUUUCAAGAUUUUUUUUUUCUACACUUUGACCAUGAUAUGCCUAGAUGUAGGGGUUUUUUUGGGGUGGGGGAGCAACAUUAAUUCUGUUUCUUGUUUUCUUUCUUUCUUUUUUUUUUUCUGUCUAUGCCUCCAGCAUGUGGAAGUUCCUAGGCCAGGAAUCAAUCCUAUGACCUGAGCCACUUAAGGACAUUGCCAGAUCCUUAAGCUGCUGCACCACAGGGAGAUUCCACGUUUUCUGUUCUUAGUGGACCUAUAAUUUGCUGUCUGAUAUUAAUUUGGGAAAAUCCUCAUCCCUUUCGUAUCUAAGUCUGGUUUGAUGCUGUUUCUUCAUAUGUAUUUUUUAUCUUUUAGUAUGCUUUGUGACUUUUUUGUUGAAACACAGACAUAAUGUACUAGGUAAACGAAACUGUGGAGUUCCCAUUGUGGCUUAGCAGGUUACAAACCCAACUAAUAUCCAUGAGGAUAUGGAUUCAAUCCUUGGCCUCACUCAGUGUGUUAAGGAUCCAGUAUUGCCGUGAGCUGUGGUGUAGGUCACAGAUGUGGCUUGGAUCCCAUGUUUCUGUGGCUGAGGUUUUAGCUGGCAGCUGUGGGAACUUCCAUAGGCUGCAGGUGCUGCCCUAAAAAGGCAAAAAGGAAGGGAGGGAGGGAAGGCAGAAAGAAAGGGAAAGAAGAAAGGAAGAAAAGAAAGAAAACCCAGGAAGGAAGGAAGAAAAGACAGGAGAAAAGAAAACCUAGGAAAGGAAGGAAGAAAAAGAAAACCCCAAAGGGCUUUUAGUAAUGUAAUGGUAUGAUUUAAUAAUGUGAUAAUCCCAUAAUUACAUUUUAGUCCUUCAGUAAGCUUGUUCCACUAAGCUGUGGGCUUUAAAAGUACUUCUCACUUGUUUCCCAAUUAAGUGGGACAGGGAGUUGGAUAUUUCACUUCCCACAUACUGGUUUGUGUAUUAGGCAGGGUUCAUCAGAGAAACAGAAACAAUAAGAGAUACAAGUAUUCACAUGUGCCUGUGCACACACACACACACACACACACACACACACACACACACUUGUAUAUAGUAAAUUACUAUAAAGGUUUGACUCAUGUGAUAUGACUAUGGAGGCUGGGAAGUCCCACAGUCUUCCCUCUGCAUGCUAUAUAUUCAGGAAUUCCACUGGUGUGUUUCCAGUUCUAGUUCAAAGACCUGAGAAUAAGAACACUGUAAGUUUCAGUCCUAAGGCAAGAAGAGGUUGAUGUCCCAGCUCUUACAGUCAGCAGAGAUAGAGCAAAUUCUCUCUCCAUAUUUUUGUUCUUUUCACCAAAGCAUCAGAUGAUGUCCACUCACAUUGGGGAUGGCAAUCUUCUUUACUCAGACUACUGCUUCAAAUGCUAAUCUCAACCAGAAACACCCUCACAGAAAAUUCCAGGGAAAAAAAAUUACCCAAAUAUCUGGGUAUCCUGGUAUAUAGUCAAGUUGACAUAUAAAAUUAACCAUAACAGUUAGGUUCUGAAAAAACCCUAGUAGGUUAGGUUCUGGUAGGAUAGUUUUUCUUGAAGACAGAUCUUAAGAAGAAUAAAGUUCUUAGAAGUUCCCUUGUGGUGCAGCAGGCUAAGGAUCUGGUGUUGUUUCAGCUGUGGUGCAGGCUACAACCAUGGCAUGGGUUCAGUCCCUGGCUUGGGAACUGCCAUGUGCCAUAGGUGUGACCCAAAAACUAAAUUUAAAAAGAAAAUUAAAAAAAUAGAGUUCUUUAGCAUGUUUUAAAACGGUUACUUUUACCCAACUCCUGCUGGAAGCACAAGAGGAUUUUUCUCUAGUACUCACUCUGUGAACCUAGUAGAGCUCCUAGAGGUAAAUUGUCAAAGGCAUGGGAGGCAACCUUAAAACAGCCCCUACUCACCCAGAAUUUUUAACUCUCAGACUUGUCCAGCAACUAGGCAGUUAAAGUUUAGGCUUUUCUAUUGCAGUAUGGUUCCCACAGGGAUUUCUGCUCUGGUAAGUUGCAAUUCUCUGUAUCUGUGUGUCUCUCCAAUUUUGGAGGUGGUGAUUUGCCCUGUGACCUCACUUCUCUGACUGAUCUGAAAAGAGUUGUUUAAUUUUUAGUUUCAGCUUUUUACUGGACUAAAGUAUUCCAAUCUCCAUACAUAUCAGACUGAAACUUAACUGACCUUUUAAUUCUAGCUAUCCUUCUGAAUGCAAAGUGAUCUGUCAUUUUUUUUUUUUCUUUCUCAAGUUCACAUAGGAUAUUCUCCAGGAUAUACUAUAUGCCAAACCAUGAAAGAGUUCUCAGUAGAUUUUAAAAACCAGAUGUCAUUCAAAUUAUCUUCUCCAGCCAAAAUGGAACAAAGUUAGAAAUGAAUAACAGAAGGAAUGUUGGAAAACCCACAAAUUAAAUUAGAAAUUAAAGAACACAAUCUUAAAACAACAAAUUGGCAAAAAAAAAA